AUUUAAGUAGUUUAUUUUUAAAACAUAAUAUUGAAGAUAUUAAGAAAAUUUUAUUAGUUCUUAAAUA
rnacentral:tRNA from 1 species